CACGUAGGGCGCAAGCGUUGUCCGGAAUUAUUGGGCGUAAAGAGCUCGUAGGCGGUCUGUUGCGUCCGCUGUGAAAACUCGGGGCUUAACCCCGAGCCUGCAGUGGAUACGGGCUGGCUAGAGGCAGGCAGGGGAGAACGGAAUUCCUGGUGUAGCGGUGAAAUGCGCAGAUAUCAGGAGGAACACCGGUGGCGAAGGCGGUUCUCUGGGCCUGUACUGACGCUGUGGCGCGAAAGCUAGGGGAGCAAACGGG
rnacentral:rRNA from 1 species